AGUGAACGCUGGCGGUAGGCCUAACACAUGCAAGUCGAACGGCAGCACAGUAAGAGCUUGCUCUUACGGGUGGCGAGUGGCGGACGGGUGAGGAAUACAUCGGAAUCUACUUUUUCGUGGGGGAUAACGUAGGGAAACUUACGCUAAUACCGCAUACGACCUACGGGUGAAAGCAGGGGAUCUUCGGACCUUGCGCGAUUGAAUGAGCCGAUGUCGGAUUAGCUAGUUGGCGGGGUAAAGGCCCACCAAGGCGACGAUCCGUAGCUGGUCUGAGAGGAUGAUCAGCCACACUGGAACUGAGACACGGCCCAGACUCCUACGGGAGGCAGCAGUGGGGAAUAUUGGAAAAGGGGCGCAAGCCUGAUCCAGCCAUACCGGGGGGGUGAAGAAGGCCUUCGGGUUGUAAAGCCCUUUUGUUGGGAAAAAAAAGCAGCAGGUUAAUACCCCGCUGUUCUGACGGUACCAAAAGAAUAAGCACCGGCUAACUUCGG
rnacentral:rRNA from 1 species